CUUUUCGUUGGGUGUUCGUGGGAAUCGGUUCUUGGGGGUGCGAAGCACAGAAUCGGCUCUGAUUGCAGAAAUCCCUGCAGGACUCCUCGAGAAGCCCAAGAAAUGCCGUAGCCCCUUAUUUCUACGAACUGGUGCUUUCCUCCACAAUCCAAGACAAGAGGCUGGGUUUGCUAGGGAUUUUCAACACCGAUCAGCAACUUAGUGACCUGGAAUAACAGAACAUUCAAUCUUUUUCCACCAAAAUCUGGUGAGUUUUUUUGUUCAAAUUAACAUUCAAUAUUCAGAUAACUAAGAGUUGUCUUAUGUAUGCUUUUCUUGUAUUUGUCAAGAGUAUGUUGAGGACUACAUUUCUGAUUGUAAUAAUAGUUUGCAGGUUCUAAGUGUCGUAGAUAGAAGGAUUGCUAAAUGUCUAAAGUAAGUGCUUCUAGUGUCACACCAAGAAGGACGAGAUCUACAGUGUGGGAACACUUUAAAUAUAUUCCUGAUCAAGAAAAGGCUGAAUGUAUAUAUUGUGGGGCCUAUAUUAGUUGUGCUAGUGGUCAAGGGACCAGUUUGAUCCCAUCGAAGCAAAACGUUAGUUCUCAUUUCAGCUAUUGUUUGCUUACCUGUAGAGCUGGCAGGGAAAAAAGGCCAAGAAAAAGAAAGGCGCCACCGCACGUGGAUUAGAACCAAAUUUGCGGCCCCACGUGGAGGAAAGCCAGAUUGACAAGGCACAUUCGCCACCGACAUGAGCUAAUCCAAGUGUUCACUUCUUGAGCCAUCUAUUAUAUUUCUUGAUGGUGUUGAAAAGAUAUUUUCGUUCUCAAAUUGAAUUGUUUGCGAUGGACGAAGUUAUUAUGCUCUAUCCAUUUCAAUCAUCUCUAAAGUAUGAACUUAUCAAGUAUGACUAGGCUUAACAGGUAUUCACUACCAAUAUCUAUAAUAUUGGUCGCAUUGGGCAGGAUGGCA